CAGGCACAAUUGAAUCCGGAAAAUUUUUUUAAUUUCGCGGUCAUUCCUCGUCUCUGGGUGGUCUUAACAACAAGUUUGUUCUCCUUCUACUAGAUGGAGAUAUCCAUGUAUACAAUCCAAUCCUAAACAAACUCUACAAUCGCUCACUCAUUCGAUGUCUGCUACUUGUACAAGAAUGCAUGGCAGGCUGUGAUAAGAGAAACAAAUUACCACAGUAUUUUACUCAGGACGUCAAAUAUGCAAGUGUGUUACGAUGCCGCUGUGUGACCACUUUACUAGGAGGUCAUUCGAUCGUCCAGGAAAAUUUUUAGUUUUCAUCACCUUAAUAUGCAGUUUGACGGUGUUUGUGAAUACAUUAAGAAAUCGCUAUGCAGAUUCCUCGCGACAAGAAAGAUAUCGAACCUACUUACACGAAAUGGACGCCUUACAUCCUCGUAUGGAUCAUAUAGAAGAACACUUGUACAGGGACCUUGAUGAAAUGGGGAGACUACACAGUUUAAUGGGAGCAAAAGAUCCUCAGUCAAAAAUAGCCUCCGAGGAUGACACAACAAAGAAUAUUAAAGGUAAAAUAGGCUUUUAUAAUUUUUCCAACACUGACUUGUGGGCUGUUUGCCUAAGAAAUUUCAUUGUCCGUUUUCCUACUGGUUUUCUGUACUGACCUAAUUCCAAAAGAGUAACUUUAUCCUGAUGUUCAACUGCACCAUAUUUUAGUUGGAAUGUGCACAGUGCUUUUAAUGGAUGAACUAAUUUAUCAACAAUGCUUUUGUCUGUUUCCAUUAUAGACAUGGCUAAAGCUGCUGACUCAACUGUUGAUAGGCAGUAUUCAGAUGGCUGAGUCCUGAUGACAUACAAACUGGGACCCAGCUCUGGCAAGGAAACCUGUAAAGUGUUAAUAGAUAAAUAAGUUUAUACAAAUUAACAGAAACAUUUUAAUAGUUAUAUGCAAUAACACUAAUAUGUUUCUACAUAAAAAUGUGCUUUAUCACAGUUUGAACAUGUUUUAUGCUGCACUGUGAUGUGAUUUACCUAUAAUUGUAUGAAAAUACAACUGUCAAGCUUAA